rnacentral:rRNA from 1 species
UACGAAGGGGGGCUAGCGUUGCUCGGAAUCACUGGGCGUAAAGCGCACGUAGGCGGGUCGUUAAGUCAGGGGUGAAAUCCUGGAGCUCAACUCCAGAACUGCCCUUGAUACUGGCGAUCUCGAGUUCGGGAGAGGUGAGUGGAACUGCGAGUGUAGAGGUGAAAUUCGUAGAUAUUCGCAAGAACACCAGUGGCGAAGGCGGCUCACUGGCUCGGUACUGACGCUGAGGUGCGAAAGCGUGGGGAGCGAACAGG